rnacentral:tRNA from 1 species
GCAGUGGUGGCUUAGUGGUUAAAGGCUCUGGGUCACUGGCCAGAAGGUUGGGGGUUCAAGCCCCAACCCUGCC